GCCUUCCCCACCUGCUGCACUGAAGCUAGGGCUGCCGCCUUGUGAGGUGCCUACAGGUAACUGGCACCUAGCCCACCUCUCGGCCCGCCACUGUCUGAGGGCUUGGGGGGAGGGGCAACUUGGGAUGGGUGCCCUCCAGACACCCAUCCUUAACUAGCCCGCCUGAAAUCCUGUCCCCAGAGUGUUUUGAUUUAGGCAGAGGCCAGAAGGCAAAGGUCACAGGCAAAGGUCGGGAAAUCUGGCUCUGACUGCACAGGGGUUGCCUGUGCGUGGGGUGCAGGGGCUGGGGAAGGGGAGCCAUUCUGGUUUGGUGCCCAGUGAUUCCUGCCACCCACCUCCUGGGGGCUGGGCCCAGAUCUGGGUAGGUCUUGUCUCCCCAGGGAGGGCCUUGCCUUCCAGACUUGAGGCUCACCUGUGAGUGGGGUAAACACUGCCUCUAAGCCUCUGUGAGGAACCUCCGGGGUCCUACAGGUGCGGUGGACUGACUGGGAAGGGGGCUGUGUGACUUCAGAGAGCCCUUCCUUCUCUGGACCUUAUUUCCCAAAGGAUGGUUUCGGCCUAGGCAGAGACCCAGCAGUCUGGGCAGGCUCUGCGUGGUGGGACCUGGGUCCCAGCAGGAAAGGAUGGGUGUAAGACGUGGAGUGGGGUGGGGGCCAUACCUGAAAUGUGCAAUAAGGUGGGGGACCAAGAGGGAACCUGUGUGGGUGGGGACCUCCACCCCUGCUGGGCUGGGCCACCUCUAUUUAUGUAACAAUUCAUAAGACAUAAACAGCAGGAGCUGGGAAUGGAGAGGUCAGGGCCUUCCUACUCAGCAGUCUAGGGGCCUGAGGACCUAGGAGGCGCCUGCCCUCUGCCAGAUCCCUGGGGGUCCUGAUGGGAGUGACCAGCUCCUGCGCUCCAGGGCAGGCCAGGAUGAGGGAUAGCAGACAGAUGGCCCACCCUUGUGUUCUGGGCCGUGACAUGAUGGUCUUAAAAGAAAUUGAGUGGCCAGACUGUCAGAAGCCCAGCGCGGAGGGGCCCUGGGGCCAGGAGGGCACACCAGGCCCAGAGGCUGUGGAGCUGUAGAAAGGUGGGAGGAGACGGUGGCCCUGUUGCCCGCGUUGGGCGUCACAGGGCGCUUCUUUCUAGGCCUCUUGACAACGGUAAUGAGAAAUGAAGUGAAGGGCCGGGGACCCCCAGAUGGAUUUGAGAGACCACGAGCCGACGGCAGAGAGGUAGCUGGAGGAGGCAGAAGGGGCACCUUGGCUCUGCGUGGUGGGGCAGGUGAGCCGCUGGACCUUUGGGAGGCAGGCAGGCAGCACCAUAGAGCCCUUGUCAAUUAAAAGCAUAACAUCUGAAAGUUCUGAAAUUUAGUAGGAUUGAAAGACUGGGUUGAGGAAAUGUGGCAGGAAACAACGAAGAUCGAUUCGAGAUGGGACCCAGGAAAGGAGGGCCGAGAGGGUGCAGGAGCAGGUGCAGGGGCCGGGAUGUCUAGCGCUUGAGUGACAGGUUCCAUCAGAGGCGGACGCCUGGGAAGCCGCAGUCUGAGGCACGCAUGUCCCAGAAGCUCCUCCGUGGAAGGGCCUGCCACACACUCCACACAGUAAGUCAGCAAGCAAGCUAAGCAAAUAAACCCCACCGAGUCACAUCUUCGGGACAUUUCAAAGAAAUCAAAAUAGAGAGAGAUGCAGAAAGCCUCUAGGGAGGAAACACGGGGCUCCCAGAAAUAGGUGCACCAGGAGCUCCCAGGCCAUCCCCAGCAGGGUGCCACGUUCCCAGAGGACGUGUCGCCUCGGAUCCCAUCUCCAGGUGCACCGUCCUCCAGGUCUCACUCACUUGUGGAAUUACUGUGGCUCUGGAGGGGGAUUCGCCCCACACCGUGCGUGAAGAACACACCACUGAAUCCGAAGGCUGCAGAAACCAGAACAUGAAUGCCUGCUGUGCACUGGGUGCUGGGUGCAGAGGGCCGCUGGCAUCCUAGCGGAGAGAUGUGGACCGUGGCAGCCCGGGGGAUGCGGCAAUGCCAGGCUCUGGUGUGUCCCACGAAGAACAAUAAAGCAGGCUAACGAGCCAGUGAAGAAGGUGGCUAUUUCAGAUGGACCCAGUUGCUCUAACACCAUUUACUGGAAAGAUGACCCUUCACUGAAAGACUUUGGCCCGUUUGUGAAAAACCAGUUGGCCAUCCAUGCUGUGCAUCUGUGUCUGGGGUCCGUCCUGUCCCACCGAUGGGUGUGUCCCUGUCUGCGCCAGUGUCUGUUGCUAUGGUGAAUUACCCUAAUUUUUGACUGUCCUACCAGCCUUGCAUUCCUGGGAUAAAUUUCACCUGGGCAUGAAUAAGAAAAUCCUCUGGUUUUAGUGCCAGGGUGAUGCUGGGCUCACAGAAUCAGCAGGAAGGUGUCCCCUCCUCUCCUCUUUCCUGGAAGUUAGUGUAGAAGUGAUGCUAUUACUUCCUUAGAUAUUGGUGAAUUCUCCGGGGAAGCCAUCUGGGCCUGGAGCUGCCUUUCUGUGAAAAGGCUUCAACCACAGAUUCCGUGUCUGUAACGGUAGCUCCACUUUCCUCCAUAUUACCACACUUACUUAAAACUUUUGUGCCGCUAUUUAGUACUGCUAGCUGGAACUAAGAGUUUCUCAAAUUGCCACAUAUCUCCACUGACACGGGGUUCUAUUUUGCUUUUAAAUGGCAUAGUAUUUUCUUUAAGGUGCCAGGUCACUGGUGGCAGGCAUGUCUGAGGGGCUGGACGAAGGUGGGCGAGGGCCCCGUUCCGUCCCAGCCGUGUGCGGGACUUGGCCUCUGACUCAGCCUGCAGGGCAGCCGACAUGCCCUUUUCCCAGCUGCAAACUUUCCCAGCCCGUCUGCUGCUGCCAGAGGCAGAGAUUUAAAACACCUUGGGGCUGGGGGGCCCUCCUGGCAGGCUCUUGGCUGUGCCGGGGUGCAGCCAGGGCCUCCUGGAGCUGGUUCCUGGUGCCCUGCCCUUGCCUGCAGCCUGGGCCCGGCAGCCAUGGGCCGGGGAGCCCGCUCCCCUCUUGCUCCUGGCCUUCCUCUGAAUCCAAGAUCGGGGCUGCACUGUCCGGGGACUUGCUUAUCCCGGCAGAGGACGUGUGUGCCCACAGAAGGUGUGCGCGUCUGUGUGCACGCACGGAAGCCCUCCCUGAGUCCCUGGGAGACCCUCAGGCGCACUGGGGCAGCAAGGUCUCCAAAGCGCCGUGGCCAGGGGCUGUUGUACAGUGCAGGAAGGCCCUGGGUGGCCCUGCCUGAGCCAGGCCUAGGGGGCUUUAUCUGGCUGCUGCCUGUCCACAUAGACCCAGCGUGAGCCUCAGAUCCAGCUGCAAAUGGGCCUGUGCAAAGGCACAUCAGGUGGCACCCAGUGUGGCUGGAUCAAAUCAGGCCACUGAGAGGUGGCAGUGGUGGGAAGGGGCCCUGGGGCCACCAGCUCUGGAUGGGGCCAGGCUCGGGUCAGGGACAAGGCAGGAGGGCUGGGGGACAGGUGGGCAGAGACAUGAGCAGGGCAGGCAGCCCCUGACCCAGGAGCUCAGGAAGUCACAGGCCCCCGUCUGGGUAUCGGCUAAGAAGGGGGCCAGUGAGGGCAUAGCCGCAGCCAAAAGGGCCAGGCAGGAGUGCUGGAGGUGAUAAGGAGGCUGGAAAGGAUGGGUAGGAGUCCCACAGGGCCCAGGGCCAGGGCGAGGCCCAGGGAAUCCGUGGAGGGCCAUUAAGCCCGGAAUGUGCCUGGAGCCACCGGUGCACGGGUCACUUGCCUCUUCCUGACUCCGUGUGCCUGGCUCAGUCCCGCCAGUGGCACACAGGUCACCGUAUUCUGGCGCCAGCCGCCCCUCUUCCUUGUCUCCUCCUUCUCCUCACCCGGCCCAGAGCUCCACCGCGCCCUCCCAUCUGGGCUGGGAUUCCCUGUGGAAAAAUCAGGUGGGUUCUCCAGGAGAUGGCUUCAACUUAGCAGAGGUGGGGAUUGGGGCCCUGGAGCCGGGAAGCUGGGGUUGUCCACCACCCUCUCCCUCGCAAGUUGCUGGCAACAAGCUGCUCAGCUUGAGUGGCUUGGCCUGGGCCAUAGUGGACAGGGCAAUCGGCCAAGCUUGUCUCCAGCAUUUGGGAGGUACGGGGCAGUGGCAGUAAUUCUAAGGAUUGGGUAUCAGCUGGCCUGAAGCCUUGAAGAAAGCUGAGCCAGCCAGUAGCAAUUCCAGGCCUGCAGAGAGACCCAGAACCCGUCACAGGCUCUCCUCGAAGCUUGCGUGUUGACGUCCUCAUUCACAGAGGUAAAUAAGGUAAGAUGAGGUCACUAGAGUGGACCCUGGUGCAGUCUGACUGGUGUCCCUGCGAGAGGAGGUGAUCGGGACACAGGCACAGAGAGGGACAGCGCGAGUCCCCAGGGAGCCAAACAGAGAGGCCCCGAGGAGCCGGCCCUCCAGGACCUGG